GGCCUGCCAGGGUACCCUGCUAAUU
rnacentral:piRNA from 1 species